GACGAACCGUGCGAACGUUGUUCGGAAUCACUGGGCUUAAAGCGUGUGUAGGCGGAUCUGUAAGUACCUUGUGAAAUCCCACGGCUCAACCGUGGAAGUGCACUCGAAACUGCAUAGCUAGAGUCCUGGAGAGGAAGGUGGAAUGCUUGGUGUAGAGGUGAAAUUCGUAGAUAUCAAGCGGAACACCGGUGGCGAAGGCGGCCUUCUGGACAGUGACUGACGCUGAGACGCGAAAGCGUGGGGAGCAAACAGGG
rnacentral:rRNA from 1 species